UACGGGGGGGAGCAAGCGUUGUUCGGAAUUACUGGGCGUAAAGCGCGCGUAGGCGGACCUGCAAGUCGGGGGUGAAAGCCCGAGGCUCAACCUCGGAACUGCCUUCGAUACUGCGGGUCUCGAGUCCGGGAGAGGUGAGUGGAAUUCCUAGUGUAGAGGUGAAAUUCGUAGAUAUUAGGAAGAACACCAGUGGCGAAGGCGGCUCACUGGCCCGGUACUGACGCUGAGGCGCGAAAGCGUGGGGAGCAAACAGGG
rnacentral:rRNA from 1 species